GGGUACAGAGAGAUGCUGACAGCUCUUGGCUGGUGCAGAAGUGGGAGGGAGCAGAAAGCUGUGUCAAAAGUAGACUGUGGAAGGAUCUGGGCUACAGCUCAGUUUUGUUAAAGCUUUGGAAAUAGGGAGUAUUUUCUGCAUUUAUCUAACUAUGAAAGAAAAAUAGUGUAAAUGAGCAAGUGGAUGGCUAUGGCCAGGUAGAGUCCUCUCCAUGAGGGUGUGGGAGCACGGCAGCAGGCAGAGCCCAGCCCGGACAGCAAGGGUGUGGGCAGGGGCUGUACCCCAGCUUUUGCCGGGUGCUGGUGAAGUGGUGCUGGUCUGGCGGGCGCGCUGUGGAGCCAAACACAGCCUGCCAGAGAGAGCAUCUGUUGGGUGCUUGGAGGAGAGCAGAAAAAAGGAUCUGAACACAUCACAGACCCGAAGUCCCCAGACAAGUGUUCCAGACCAGGGAUCCAUCCAGUUACCACAGGUAGAUGAACUGCUGCUGAACCACCAGCCUGAGAGCCUGGAGGAUGCAGAAAGUGGAGCCAGAGUAGAGGAAAAGAUUGUUUACCUCUGAUAACUUGUUUUCUAUUCUCAGUAGCACUUUGGAAAGAUAACUGUGUUUGUUUUUCUAAGUUUCUGUAGUUCUCUGUAUGACCAUCUGGCUGUAAGGAUAGUAUUUAAUAGCAAAUGCAAAUUUUUCCCUGUGAUAAAUCUAGCAAGUAAGUUAUUUUGAAGCCUUUGUUGUAUAAUCUUUAAUUUAUGACAUGAUUUCAAGUGCUUUGCAAGAAUCAGUGAGUAGCAGAUGAGACAUAACCUUCUGAAAUUGUAAAGGUGCCACUAAGGACUGUGAAAGCUAGUCUUGAUUUUCGUGAGUCCUCUUCUUACAAGGAUGAGCUAAGACAUUUGCUACUUGAGAUUUCAGAGUGUGUAUCACUAACAGUUGUGAUAUAACAUGAAAAGACAGCAAUGUAACAAUGCUGGCUUGAGUCUUUGUUGAAAUGUGCUUAGUUGAAAUGUGAAAUAUACCCUUAGGUCUUGGGUCAUUUUCCUUAUCUUCUAGCUCAGGAACUGCUCAGAAGGGGAUUUUUUUAUGGUCUGAGCAUAAUUGCAUAAUUGUAAGUGUUUUUUCAUGUCCCAAAGCUUAUUAUCAUUUUGAUACUACUGCCAAUUUCUGUGCAGAGAUGCACUAAAUCAGUUAUUGUAUUAUGACUGUUUCUCAUUUCAGUAAGUGUCCUUACACAUUAAAAUUUACCAGAUGAAACCAUCUCACUGGUCAAAAGAAAAAAAAGGGGAUAAAUAAUAGGCUUCGGGUAAUUGAACUCUUCUGAACCUCCACUGCUUUCCUGUGCAGAUAUCAGAUAGCUUUCUGCUUUCAGAUUCAUGGGAUUCUCUGUCUUGGGCAGUAAGAAACCCUUUUUGUGCCUUUUUAUGCCUUUUUGUCUUUCUGAAAAAUUUCUACGCGUCUGUCAAACUAAAUAAAUGUUCUGUGCAUUUCUAGAAAACUGUAAAU
rnacentral:lncRNA from 1 species